rnacentral:rRNA from 1 species
UACGUAGGGGGCAAGCGUUGUCCGGAUUUAUUGGGCGUAAAGAGCUCGUAGGCGGUUUGGUAAGUCUGGUGUGAAAUCUCCACGCUCAACGUGGAGGGGCCACCCGAUACUGCCAUGACUGGAGUCCGGUAGAGGAGUGUGGAAUUCCCGGUGUAGCGGUGAAAUGCGCAGAUAUCGGGAGGAACACCAAUAGCGAAGGCAGCUCGCUGGGACGGUACUGACGCUAAGGCGCGAAAGCGUGGGGAGCGAACAGG